GUUUUGGAGUCAUCAAUACCAUAAUAAUGAAGUAGGAACUUAUUGGUAUAUCAAUGAAAUGUUUUGGAGUCAUUAAUAGCACAUGGAUCUUGUUUGAGUAAUCGGAUACCUUCUGACAUUCAUUAGUGCAAUAAACAUGUAAGAUUUGGAAAACAAGUAAGUAUUGGAAUGUCUUGACAUCUUGUAGGGUGGAAACAAGUUCAUUGGUAACGUAGGACAUCAUACAAAACCAUUAUGGAUCACAUGUU
rnacentral:lncRNA from 1 species